rnacentral:tRNA from 1 species
GGGUCGUUAGCUCAGUUGGUAGAGCAGUUGACUUUUAAUCAAUUGGUCGCAG